rnacentral:misc_RNA from 1 species
UAAUUGCUGGGGAUAAAAACAUGCUUGUGGGUUUCUGCUAAGGAUUGAUGAUAGAAUUCAGUUACCUGUUCAAAUAUAUAUACAUUAAGCCAAUUAAAGUUUUGGUUUGCUUUUGUUUCUAGCCUUGAACGUCUAGGUAAGCUUUGGUUUGCCUUUGUAAUAGUUGUUUAGGUUUCUAUCUUCUGAGUUAAUAAAUUUUUGGGAAAGAAAAAGAAUUGCAUUACCUGUUGUCAUAGUUAUUAAAGGCUCAAGGUGUACUAAGGGGCCAAGGGGUCCUGGAGCCUAGGC